CGUUAAAGACGAUGACGUUGAUAGGCCGGGUGUGUAAGCGCAGCGAUGCGUUGAGCUAACCGGUACUAAUGAACCGUGAGGCUUAACCUU
rnacentral:rRNA from 1 species